rnacentral:rRNA from 1 species
CAGUCGCCGCGGUAAUACGAAGGGGGCUAGCGUUGUUCGGAUUUACUGGGCGUAAAGCGCACGUAGGCGGAUCGAUCAGUCAGGGGUGAAAUCCCAGAGCUCAACUCUGGAACUGCCUUUGAUACUGUCGAUCUGGAGUAUGGAAGAGGUGAGUGGAAUUCCGAGUGUAGAGGUGAAAUUCGUAGAUAUUCGGAGGAACACCAGUGGCGAAGGCGGCUCACUGGUCCAUUACUAACGCUGAGGUGCGAAAGCGUGGGGAGCAAACAGGAUUAGAGACCCCGGUAGUCCCUGUCUCUUAUAC